CGGCGCCGCGCGACGCGGCGCCGGCCCGACUCCGGUACCUGGUACGGCCGGGGCGG
rnacentral:ncRNA from 1 species